CCAGCGAGGCUAGCAGUGGAGUGGACUUCACGCGUUCACGGUGCGGUCGCGGUAUAAGAAAGUGCACGUUCUCUUAUGCGACGAGAAAAAAGCGUACUUGGUCGGCCGCACUUUGAUGCAUGAUUUGUCGUUGCACACGUCGCGUGACUCCCAGUAAUUUUCGCGUCAGUUUGCCGCCGCUAGGUUCAUUGUUAAACGAGGUUCGGCGGCACGCACUCACGGCGCGAUAUAACCGAGGAUGAGCGAAAACGGAGGAGCGGAAAUCUCGGCAGUACCGCAAGCGGGGGAUGGAGCCAGGGCGGAAUUGUUCAAGGAGGAGGCGAACGAGUAUUUCAAAAAUCAAGUGUAUAACAAAGCUAUUGAAUUGUAUACCAAAGCCAUAGAAUUAAAUCCAUCAGUAGCUGUUUAUUACGGCAACAGGAGUAUUUCUUAUCUGAGAACAGAAUGUUUCGGAUAUGCAUUGACGGAUGCAUCUAAAGCUAUCGAGUUAGAUAGAAAUUAUGUGAAGGGUUAUUACCGCAGAGCAGCCGCUUACAUGUCCCUUGGCAGGUUCAAACUGGCUCUUACAGAUUAUAAAACUGUUGUAAAGGCCAGACCUAACGAUAAGGAUGCGAAGGACAGAUUUAUGGAAUGUAGUAAAAUGGUUAAAAUGUUAGCUUUUCAAAAAGCGAUCUCCGUAGAAGAGAAGAAAAAUAUAGCCGAUAUGAUUAAUCUAGAAGCUAUGGCUAUUGAGGAUGAGUACACAGGGCCUAAAUUGGUCGAUGGAAAAGUCACCCUGGAGUUUAUGCAAGACUUAUUAGAGUGGUAUAGGAAUCAAAAUAAAUUACAUCGUAAAUAUGCAUACAAAAUCUUGUUGGACGUUAAAUCGUGGUUUAUGGCACAACCCAGUUUAGUGGACAUUAAAAUCCCAGAAGAUAGCAAAUUCACUAUUUGUGGUGACAUACACGGUCAAUAUUACGACUUGCUUAAUAUAUUUAAGUUGAAUGGAUUGCCAUCGGAGACUAAUCCAUAUUUAUUCAAUGGAGAUUUUGUAGAUAGAGGUUCCUUUUCCGUAGAAUGCAUAUUUACUUUAUUUGGUUUUAAAUUAUUAUACCCAAAUCACUUUUUCAUGUCGAGAGGAAACCACGAGUCAGCAACAAUGAAUCAAAUGUAUGGAUUCGACGGUGAGGUAAAAGCUAAAUACUCAGCUCAGAUGGCGGAAUUGUUCACAGAAGUAUACAAUUGGCUCCCUCUUGCACACUGCCUCAACAAUAGAGUGCUCGUGAUGCACGGUGGGUUGUUUUCGCGGGACGACGUGACGUUGCAAGAAAUCAGGGAAAUUGACAGAAAUAGGCAACCGCCCGACGAAGGAUUAAUGUGCGAAUUGCUGUGGUCAGAUCCGCAACCGCAAAUAGGCCGGGCGCCCAGCAAGAGAGGCGUGGGCGUUCAGUUCGGACCUGACGUCACGCAGAAUUUCCUUAGGAUAAAUAAUCUCGAUUAUGUCGUGAGAAGCCACGAGGUGAAGAACGACGGCUAUGAAGUUGGACAUGACGGAAAGUGUAUCACAGUAUUCUCCGCUCCAAAUUACUGUGAUACUAUGGGUAACCAAGGUGCCUUUAUCACACUUAAUGGCAAAGAUAUGAAACCUUACUUCACGUCAUACGAAGCAAUGCCUCAUCCGAAUGUAAGGCCGAUGGCUUACGCCAAUUCUCUACUAAAGUUCAUGUGCUAGUGGAACACAUCCUAGGUAUUAUUGAUAAAUGAAUAAUAAUAACUGAAAUGCAAGUAGCCCAAUCAAAGUGAGAUCAUGACGAAUCCCCCGCCCUGUAUCAUAAAGUACAUGCAAUCAGAAAUGCAUAAUAUUGAUGGGUACAAAAGCGAGAAAAGUUUGCUUAUUUUUACAAACAAACAAACAAACUUUGUCGAGUUUUUCUUAUCUACAAUAAGAAAAAGGAAAGACGACUCACUAGCGAUUUGUGUUCGUUUAUAAUAAAAUAACGCGAAGAGAACGUUUCUAUUUUGUACCCUCAAUCUAUGUCCACCUUGCUCGUUAAAGAUACUCCCAUUUUUUUUUUAUAUAUAUAUAUUGCGUCCGCGUGCUCGCGCACACAUACACAUAUAUAAAGAGAAGAAAAGAACGUAUUUUGGAGAAAGCUUUUCUCCAAGGUUUUAACUUAUAUAAUUCACUAUUUAUACGAAGCGCACUGAAUUAUUAAAUACAUCGCGACCCUUUUAAUCGAUUCUUUAACGACCAAUGGUGGGGUUCCGAUGAGAUACGAUGUUUAUUAUGAGAAUACAUAAGAUGCAUACUAGCAUAAUUAUGUAGUACAAGGUUCCAGCCAAUCACUACUUGUCACGUUAUUUGUGACGACUUUUUUACAAAUCUAUUGUGAUUGGAAGGACUUCUUUGAUCUAACAUUUUGUUUUUUGUUAAUAAUAAAUAAUGUUUAUAAUGUACAUAGAAAGCGAUAUUUUCUUUUACGCGACGUGCGAAGGUGUGAUGACGCAAUAAAUUAAGAGAACAUUUUAAUCGA
rnacentral:misc_RNA from 1 species